UACGAAGGGGGCUAGCGUUGUUCGGAAUUACUGGGCGUAAAGCGCACGCAGGCGGCUCGUUGAAUUAGAAGUGAAAGCCCUGGGCUCAACCCGGGAAUUGCUUUUAAGACUGGCGAGCUAGAGUCCGGAAGAGGGUAGUGGAAUUCCCAGUGUAGAGGUGAAAUUCGUAGAUAUUGGGAAGAACACCGGUGGCGAAGGCGGCUACCUGGUCCGGUACUGACGCUCAGGUGCGAAAGCGUGGGGAGCAAAC
rnacentral:rRNA from 1 species